rnacentral:rRNA from 1 species
CCUACGGGUGGCAGCAGUGGGGAAUAUUGGACAAUGGGGGCAACCCUGAUCCAGCCAUGCCGCGUGUGUGAAGAAGGCCCUCGGGUUGUAAAGCACUUUCAGUGAGGAAGAACGCCUGGUGGUUAAUACCCAUCAGGAAAGACAUCACUCACAGAAGAAGCACCGGCUAACUCCGUGCCAGCAGCCGCGGUAAUACGGAGGGUGCGAGCGUUAAUCGGAAUUACUGGGCGUAAAGCGCGCGUAGGUGGCUUGAUAAGCCGGUUGUGAAAGCUCCGGGCUCAACCUGGGAACGGCAUCCGGAACUGUCAAGCUAGAGUGCAGGAGAGGAAGGUAGAAUUCCCGGUGUAGCGGUGAAAUGCGUAGAGAUCGGGAGGAAUACCAGUGGCGAAGGCGGCCUUCUGGACUGACACUGACACUGAGGUGCGAAAGCGUGGGUAGCAAACAGGAUUAGAUACCCUUGUAGUC